rnacentral:rRNA from 1 species
GCAGUCGAGCGAAUGGAUUGAGAGCUUGCUCUCAAGAAGUUAGCGGCGGACGGGUGAGUAACACGUGGGUAACCUGCCCAUAAGACUGGGAUAACUCCGGGAAACCGGGGCUAAUACCGGAUAACAUUUUGAACUGCAUGGUUCGAAAUUGAAAGGCGGCUUCGGCUGUCACUUAUGGAUGGACCCGCGUCGCAUUAGCUAGUUGGUGAGGUAACGGCUCACCAAGGCAACGAUGCGUAGCCGACCUGAGAGGGUGAUCGGCCACACUGGGACUGAGACACGGCCCAGACUCCUACGGGAGGCAGCAGUAGGGAAUCUUCCGCAAUGGACGAAAGUCUGACGGAGCAACGCCGCGUGAGUGAUGAAGGCUUUCGGGUCGUAAAACUCUGUUGUUAGGGAAGAACAAGUGCUAGUUGAAUAAGCUGGCACCUUGACGGUACCUAACCAGAAAGCCACGGCUAACUACGUGCCAGCAGCCGCGGUAAUACGUAGGUGGCAAGCGUUAUCCGGAAUUAUUGGGCGUAAAGCGCGCGCAGGUGGUUUCUUAAGUCUGAUGUGAAAGCCCACGGCUCAACCGUGGAGGGUCAUUGGAAACUGGGAGACUUGAGUGCAGAAGAGGAAAGUGGAAUUCCAUGUGUAGCGGUGAAAUGCGUAGAGAUAUGGAGGAACACCAGUGGCGAAGGCGACUUU